rnacentral:rRNA from 1 species
UACAUGGGGUGCAAACGUUGCUCGGAAUUAUUGGGCGUAAAGCGCACGUAGGCGGUUUGUUAAGUCGGAUGUGAAAUCCCUCGGCUCAACUGAGGAAGUGCAUCCGAAACUGGCAAGCUUGAGUACGAAAGAGGGUCGCGGAAUUCCCGGUGUAGAGGUGAAAUUCGUAGAUAUCGGGAGGAACACCGGUGGCGAAGGCGGCGGCCUGGGUAGAUACUGACGCUGAGGUGCGAAAGCGUGGGGAGCAAACAGG